rnacentral:rRNA from 1 species
AAAACGACUCUCGGCAACGGAUAUCUAGGCCCUCGCAUCGAUGAAGAACGUAGCAAAAUGCGAUACUUGGUGUGAAUUGCAGAAUCCCGUGAACCAUCGAGUUUUUGAACGCAAGUUGCGCCCGAAGCCAUUAGGCUGAGGGCACGUCUGCCUGGGCGUCUC